CGCUUUAGCUCCGGGAAUACCUCCAUGAGGACCAGCUCGAACAGCUCCUGAAACAAGACGAACGAACAGGCGAACGACACAGAUGACUGCCCCGAUACUCGCAGGAAUCAAUUUAUCAGAGUAAACGACAGAUUCAGUGGAGCGCGCGUUUUUAGCACCGAGCCAACAAGACAUGCCAACGUUCAAAAGCAUUCCUCUUCCUGAACCAAAUCAAAAGGCGUUUCAAGUCUGAGGGGCAGGCCUCCACGCAAAUGCUGGCAGACGAGAUGUACCGCUACAGUGAGGACCACAGCACUAUCGUCAUCC